rnacentral:rRNA from 1 species
UACGCAGACAACCAGGAUGUUGGCUCAGAAGCAGCCACUCAUUCAAAGAGUGCGUAAUAGCUCACUGGUCGAGCGUCUUUGCGCGGAGAAUUUAACGGGGCUAAACCUGACACCGAAGCUUAGGCAAUGUUUACAUUGGGUAGGGGAGCGUUGUAUACGCGGUGAAACAGUAGCGCAAGCGGCUGUGGAGUGUAUAGAAGUGAGAAUGCCGGAAUGAGUAGCGCGAAUGCAGUGAGAAUCUGCAUGGCCGAAAGCCUCAGGUUUCUGGAGGAAGGUUCGUCCGCUCCAGGUUAGUCGGGAGCUAAGGUGAGGCCUAACGGCGUAGCCGAUGCACAGACGGUAGAGAUUCCGUCACCACCAAAAGAGUUAAACACAGGGACACAUAUGAAGUCUCGGAGCCGGGUGUUGGUUCCGGUAGCGAUCGAGGGAAGUUAGUACCGAAGUCUGAGAUGGAAGAUGGCGAGAAAAGCUGUGUGUAUUUCUGCGGUGCCCGUACCGCAAACCGACACAGGUAGGUAGGAA